UAUUCUGCCCCAUGGGGAAGGAUGAGAAGCUUCGACUAAGGUUCGACUCGAGCGAAGCGAGAGAACGUUGCCGCAGGCAAUGGCCCGAAG
rnacentral:sRNA from 1 species